rnacentral:lncRNA from 1 species
CUGAGGCUGAAGUUCAUCUCUGAUUAAUAAGGGAUACUAAUGAAGUGGCUCAACCACACAGCAUGCCCUGUGGUACAGGAGAAAUAUGGAGAAUGCAGCACACUUGCUUCCUACCGAAGUAGGUAUUUUCUUUCCAGAUUUCCUUCAGUUGUGAAGUCUGACGAUUUCAAUUUUUUUGGAUGAAAUAGAAAAUGCUCACCUAAAAAUUCUGAGGUCCUGGAGUUCUACAAAAGCAUCUGUGUGAAACAGCACCAAGAGUUAACUUAGACUUGAAAUCCCUGAGAAAAGUCACGGUGAAAAAGCUUAGAGCCACGAUAGCGGAUGGGUG